GACGGAGGGGGCAAGCGUUGUUCGGAAUUAUUGGGCGUAAAGGGCUCGUAGGCGGAUCCGCCAGUCUGACGUGAAAUCUCCACCGCUCACCGGGGAGGGGCUGUUGGAUACUACGGAUCUGGAGUUCGGCAGAGGACCAUGGAAUUCCUGGUGUAGCGGUGAAAUGCGCAGAUAUCAGGAGGAACACCAAUUGCGAAGGCAGCUCGCUGGGACGUUACUGACGCUGAGACGCGAAAGCGUGGGGAGCAAACAGG
rnacentral:rRNA from 1 species